ACGCUCGACACCUACGGGAGGCAGCAGUGGGGAAUAUUGCACAAUGGGGGAAACCCUGAUGCAGCGACGCCGCGUGAGUGAAGAAGUAUUUCGGUAUGUAAAGCUCUAUCAGCAGGGAAGAGAAUGACGGUACCUGACUAAGAAGCCCCGGCUAACUACGUGCCAUCAGCCGCGGUAAUCUGAGCGGGCUGGCAAGGC
rnacentral:rRNA from 1 species